UACGGAGGGUGCAAGCGUUAUCCGGAUUUACUGGGUUUAAAGGGUGUGUAGGCGGACUUUUAAGUCCGUGGUGAAAUCUCCGGGCUCAACCCGGAAACUGCCAUGGAUACUAUUGGUCUUGAGUGUUGUGUAGGUGGGCGGAACGGGUCAUGUAGCGGUGAAAUGCUUAGAUAUGACAUAGAACACCGAUAGCGAAGGCAGCUUACUACAGGAUGAUUGACGCUGAGGCACGAAAGCGUGGGGAGCAAACAGG
rnacentral:rRNA from 1 species